rnacentral:rRNA from 14 species
AAUUCCUGACAAAAGGAAACACCAUCAAAAUUCAGACAUGGAAAAAUUAUUUUGUUGCAGCUAAUUAGAGCGGCCACCCACAUAAUCUCCAACAUUUCUCAUAUCAUCUAUCACACCGCAAGCCAAAGAAACCAUAAAGUAAACUAAACACUGAACUGAAAACAGAGCGAGGCCGACUCUCACCU